CAGCUGCCGGCCCAAACCUGUAAAGACGUCUCGCUCUGACUAGCCUAACAAGUCAGAAAUAGAAAAUUGCCUCUAGGCCGGGCGCGGUGGCACACGCCUGUGAUCCCAGGCCGAGGCGGGCGGAUCACUUGAGGUCAGGAGUUCGAGAUCAGCCUGGCCAACAUGGUGAAACCCCGUCUCUACUAAAAAUACAAAAAAAUUAGCCGGGCGUAGUGGUGGUUGCCUGUAAUCCCAGCUACUCUGGAGGCUGAGGCAGAAGAAUUGCUUGAACGGGGGAGGCGGAGCUUGCAGUGAGCUGAGAUCUCUCCACUGCACUCCAGCCUGGGUUACAGAGCGAGACUCCGUCUUAAAUAAAUAAAUAAAUAAAAAUGAUGCAGGGUCUUCUGGAAUUCACCCACGAUCACUUCAGCCUUGGAAAAGGCAACUCAUUAAUAAGACAUUGAGAGCCUGCUGUGUACCAGGCACCAUUCUAGGCUCUGCAGAUGCAGCAGUGAGCAAAACACUAAAACAAAGGUGAAAGUCAUCUGCCGUGCCUGAGUAUCAGGAGACCCAUGUAUGCAGGCACACAGGCACUGAGCAAAAAGCAGCAAUCUGACUUGUAAAAUGCAGGUAUUGGGCUCCAGAGCUUCUGCCCAGGCACACUCCAAGUUUAAGAGAGCAAUAUUCCUACCUGGUAUGGAAGGAAGCAUCUUGCACACGUGGGCUAACUUGCUGCCUCCUGGCAACUAAGCGGACACAGAGAGUAGAGACCCACACACCUGUGAGAUAGGCGCAGGGCUUCCAACCGUGGCUAUGCAUUAGAAUCACCUGGAAGCCCUCAAAAACUAGGAAUGUCCUGGGGCUCCAUCCCCAGACAAAUUAAAUCCUUGGAAAUGAGGCCUAGCACAGAUACUUUCUUAAAGAUCCUCAGGUGAUGCUAAAGUGCACAGUCGUUGAUAUAGAGUGAAUCAAAUGAUUGCUUGAGAGCAAGGAGUUUUUAUUUAAUUUAUAAGGAUCCUUAAGAUUUUUCUCACUCAUUUCAACUGAAUUACAGGCCCUUUUAGGGAUUUAUUAAUGUAUCUGGCAGCACAAUGUUUGUUAAUGAAUUUUCCUUGGGUCUUACCACCAAAAUCAGGACUGGAACUAACUUUGAGUUUGAUCCUGUGCUUCUUGCUCAGUCCUGCACAGCAACAGAGCAGGUGGUGUUUUGUCCUUUCCUCAUCCCCAGCC
rnacentral:lncRNA from 10 species